rnacentral:rRNA from 1 species
CGUGUAGGCGGUCCGCUAAGUCUGAUGUGAAAGCCCGGGGCUCACCCCCGGAAGGGCAUUGGAAACUGGCGGACUCGAGUCCCGGAGAGGAAGGUGGAAUUCCUGGUGUAGCGGUGAAAUGCGUAGAUAUCAGGAGGAAUACCGGUGGCGAAGGCGGCCUUCUGGACGGUGACUGACGCUGAGACGCGAAAGCGUGGGGAGGCAAAACA